UACAGGGGGUGCAAGCGUUAAUCAGAAUUACUGGGCGUAAAGCGCGCGUAGGCGGUUCGUCACGUCGGCUGUGAAAUCCCGAGGCUCAACCUCGGGUCUGCAGUCGAUACGGGCGGACUGGAGUACUGCAGGGGAGACUGGAAUUCCUGGUGUAGCGGUGAAAUGCGCAGAUAUCAGGAGGAACACCGGUGGCGAAGGCGGGUCUCUGGGCAGUAACUGACGCUGAGGAGCGAAAGCGUGGGGAGCGAACAGG
rnacentral:rRNA from 1 species